GUUACAGUUCUUGAAGCAAAGGCGAGGAACGUGAACCAAGUCUGGAUUUAUUUGUAAGGAGUACAAUACAGGAUGUGUGCAGCCAGAGCGUUGACUGUUGUUUCUACAAACUGGCUGAAGGGUCAGUUAGGAAGCCGGCCCCUAAAGAGGGCCCCACGUGACUUGAGGGUCCUUGACGUCUCCUUCUCUUUCGACAGUCAGGUUGACACGUACAAGGAAGCUUAUAUGAGCGGUCACAUCCCUUCCUCUGUUCACUUCGACAUCUUAAAAUGUGUCACGAGUACACCAGAGAUACCGUGCAAUCUUCCUGACUCAAACUGCUUUCCGGACUACAUGUAGAGUCUGGGGUGUGAUCAGAAAUAGAAGGACGGGGGUACGAUACCUGGGUCUAAGCACGUUGGGUUCGACGAUCUCUGGGCUCCAGAUUGCACACUGAAGCCGACCGAGGACUUGCGAGUGAGUGGGUAGUUUUUCGAGGGGAAAGGGUGUAAAUAUCGCCACAGACAGUUCAUCUAAGUAUCUAGGUUAAUAGUGGAUAUAUUGUUUUGUUAAUUAAUAUUGAUAGGGAUCAGUUUUUAUAUUUUUCAUAGAAUAAAAUUUAAACAAAUACAUAUAAAAUAUGUCCUAAGGUAACCUCAAUAAUCCAUCAGAGUUAUUGCGCAAUUUUACAGUGCAAAUCACUGUACAACAUUCGUUUCAUGGUCAGUUUUCAAAGAUUUGUCAUGUUAUCUACUUUUGAAUUUUAUUCUUGAUUUUUUACUGGAGCUUUUAAGAUCCAAUGUUUACAUUUAUCAAUAUAAAGCAUUUAAUGACUUAUUUCAAAACAUGCCUAAAACUGUGAAAAGGCCCCUUUAACUGGAUCAAAACUGUCAUCCGUGCAUCUCGUUUCGACAGUUUUACGACAUCUAAUAAGCUAACAUAACUUCUAUUAAUCGGCCUUCUAAAUUAGUUAAAAUACAAAAGACUUCAAGACUUUAGUGUUACAAAAAUCAAUAAUGUGCAUUAAAUAUAAUGGAUAAGAUAUGUAGAUAUUAACAGUUACAUAAAAUCAAAUAUUUUGAGCCUUGUAAAUUCGUAAUGACCUGAACGUCAUGAAAACUUAUACGAACACUAUUUUUUUAAAUGUUCGUCCUUUGUUGUUGAAACUGCUGCAUCUGGAUUGCAGUGUUUUGUUCGGAUAAGUUUUCCUUUUUCACAAAAAGAAAAAAGUACUAACAGUAUCAAUUGUAAGCUAUUGUUCGUGAGAUCAAUAAUUUGUAGCAUCUUAUAUCUUGUGCAAUCGAUCAGGCAUCCCUACAGAAAAAAAGGAUUUACCAUCAGCAGAACUUAAAGCAUGUUUACUUGUAUAUACUUAUUAUGUGUUACAUAUAUUGUGUACAAUAAAGUAUUUUGCUACGCCAUCAUAAUAAUGAUAAGAAAAUAAUGAAACACAGGAU